rnacentral:sRNA from 1 species
UCAUGUGUAUGAGUGAGUAUGACAACUAGAACCAUAACCGGAUCUUAAAAACCUAAGUAUUGAAUCUUUGUUAGAAGAUACAAAGACUCAUACGGACUUCGACUACACUAUCAAAGCUUUGAGAAGCAAGAAGAAGCUUGGUUAGUGUUUUGGAUUCGAAUAUGACUUGAUGUCAUGUGUAUGACUCAGUAUAAACACUAGAACCGCAACGGAUCUUAAAAGCAUAAGUAUUGUAUCAUUU